UACUUGCAGGGUCUGCGUUAACGAUGGAAGCGGCAUCCUUUUUGGUUUUUUCUACCAAAAAGAUAUAGCGGACAGCGUGUUAAAAC
rnacentral:sRNA from 1 species